CAUUGUUUAAUAACUAUAGGAAAAAGGACUAGGUAAUAAAAAAAGAUAAGUGUAUUUUAAUUUUAUCAUAUUCUUAAAUAGUUCAAAUGAUGAAAUGUUUGUAGUGGGGGCUAGUGUGAAACGUCCUGGUAAGUGACGUCACACGUGAUUUUAUAGCAUUUAACCCUUUGACCGCCAAGGACGCUUUAAAGCGUCAUUCAAUAACUUGAUCGAGACGCCAAUGACGUCUUAAAGCGUCCAUCGCAUUUCAACUUUUAAUGACGAAUAAUCCUUAGCUAAUGUUAAUUUUUUUUAAUCAGGAACAUUUAAAACUCUUCUUAUUGACUUCGACUACUAUAAUUAUGCAUUAAAACAUUGAGCUAUAGUAUAAUUGGACACGUAAUACUAAUAAAUAAACUCAUCAAAAAAUUUACUUAUAAAGUUACACCCACGGCGCCAACGACGCCUUAAAGCGUCGACUAGUGUUGUGACUACCUCCGAAUGGAAAGUAAAAAAUAUAAUAGGUAGGUAGUUUCAAAAAUGGUGCCAGUCAAGCUUUUUACGUUAUAUAUAUAUAUUUUUACACUAACCGUCGAAAGCGAAUCGUGUAAACGGCUCUGUGUAUUUUUGGUUCCGCUGAACAGACGUAAUAGUGACAACCAUAUUAUUAUUACUGUUUCCGCAUAAAUUUGAAGCUGCGCUUUGAACCGUAAUGGAGAAGAAGACUGAUUUAAAGCGCCCAAGAGAGCACAUGCCUGCAUAUGUACCGGAUACGAAAAAAUUAUGUAGUAAUUUGAAACGCAAAAGGCGAGAUACGAGAUUUUGGUGCGAAAUUUGUAAAGUGCCUCUUUGUGUUACAUGUUUCCGUGAGUACCAUGAAAAAAAAAAUACUGCACUAACGCAUAUAAAUAUCGACAACUAUCAAUAAAUCUAUCAUCACAUCACUGUU